AAUGGGUCAGCGACUUAUAUUCUGUAGCAAGGUUAACCGAAUAGGGGAGCCGAAGGGAAACCGAGUCUUAACUGGGCGUUAAGUUGCAGGGUAUAGACCCGAAACCCGGUGAUCUAGCCAUGGGCAGGUUGAAGGUUGGGUAACACUAACUGGAGGACCGAACCGACUAAUGUUGAAAAAUUAGCGGAUGACUUGUGGCUGGGGGUGAAAGGCCAAUCAAACCGGGAGAUAGCUGGUUCUCCCCGAAAGCUAUUUAGGUAGCGCCUCGUGAAUUCAUCUCCGGGGGUAGAGCACUGUUUCGGCAAGGGGGUCAUCCCGACUUACCAACCCGAUGCAAACUGCGAAUACCGGAGAAUGUUAUCACGGGAGACACACGGCGGGUGCUAACGUCCGUCGUGAAGAGGGAAACAACCCAGACCGCCAGCUAAGGUCCCAAAGUCAUGGUUAAGUGGGAAACGAUGUGGGAAGGCCCAGACAGCCAGGAUGUUGGCUUAGAAGCAGCCAUCAUUUAAAGAAAGCGUAAUAGCUCACUGGUCGAGUCGGCCUGCGCGGAAGAUGUAACGGGGCUAAACCAUGCACCGAAGCUGCGGCAGCGACGCUUAUGCGUUGUUGGGUAGGGGAGCGUUCUGUAAGCCUGUGAAGGUGUGCUGUGAGGCAUGCUGGAGGUAUCAGAAGUGCGAAUGCUGACAUAAGUAACGAUAAAGCGGGUGAAAAGCCCGCUCGCCGGAAGACCAAGGGUUCCUGUCCAACGUUAAUCGGGGCAGGGUGAGUCGACCCCUAAGGCGAGGCCGAAAGGCGUAGUCGAUGGGAAACAGGUUAAUAUUCCUGUACUUGGUGUUACUGCGAAGGGGGGACGGAGAAGGCUAUGUUGGCCGGGCGACGGUUGUCCCGGUUUAAGCGUGUAGGCUGGUUUUCCAGGCAAAUCCGGAAAAUCAAGGCUGAGGCGUGAUGACGAGGCACUACGGUGCUGAAGCAACAAAUGCCCUGCUUCCAGGAAAAGCCUCUAAGCAUCAGGUAACAUCAAAUCGUACCCCAAACCGACACAGGUGGUCAGGUAGAGAAUACCAAGGCGCUUGAGAGAACUCGGGUGAAGGAACUAGGCAAAAUGGUGCCGUAACUUCGGGAGAAGGCACGCUGAUAUGUAGGUGAAGUCCCUCGCGGAUGGAGCUGAAAUCAGUCGAAGAUACCAGCUGGCUGCAACUGUUUAUUAAAAACACAGCACUGUGCAAACACGAAAGUGGACGUAUACGGUGUGACGCCUGCCCGGUGCCGGAAGGUUAAUUGAUGGGGUUAGCGGUAACGCGAAGCUCUUGAUCGAAGCCCCGGUAAACGGCGGCCGUAACUAUAACGGUCCUAAGGUAGCGAAAUUCCUUGUCGGGUAAGUUCCGACCUGCACGAAUGGCGUAAUGAUGGCCAGGCUGUCUCCACCCGAGACUCAGUGAAAUUGAACUCGCUGUGAAGAUGCAGUGUACCCGCGGCAAGACGGAAAGACCCCGUGAACCUUUACUAUAGCUUGACACUGAACAUUGAGCCUUGAUGUGUAGGAUAGGUGGGAGGCUUUGAAGUGUGGACGCCAGUCUGCAUGGAGCCGGCCUUGAAAUACCACCCUUUAAUGUUUGAUGUUCUAACGUUGGCCCCUGAUCGGGGUUGCGGACAGUGUCUGGUGGGUAGUUUGACUGGGGCGGUCUCCUCCUAAAGAGUAACGGAGGAGCACGAAGGUUGGCUAAUCCUGGUCGGACAUCAGGAGGUUAGUGCAAUGGCAUAAGCCAGCUUGACUGCGAGCGUGACGGCGCGAGCAGGUGCGAAAGCAGGUCAUAGUGAUCCGGUGGUUCUGAAUGGAAGGGCCAUCGCUCAACGGAUAAAAGGUACUCCGGGGAUAACAGGCUGAUACCGCCCAAGAGUUCAUAUCGACGGCGGUGUUUGGCACCUCGAUGUCGGCUCAUCACAUCCUGGGGCUGAAGUAGGUCCCAAGGGUAUGGCUGUUCGCCAUUUAAAGUGGUACGCGAGCUGGGUUUAGAACGUCGUGAGACAGUUCGGUCCCUAUCUGCCGUGGGCGCUGGAGAACUGAGGGGGGCUGCUCCUAGUACGAGAGGACCGGAGUGGACGCAUCACUGGUGUUCGGGUUGUCAUGCCAAUGGCACUGCCCGGUAGCUAAAUGCGGAAGAGAUAAGUGCUGAAAGCAUCUAAGCACGAAACUUGCCCCGAGAUGAGUUCUCCCUGACUCCUUGAGAGUCCUGAAGGAACGUUGAAGACGACGACGUUGAUAGGCCGGGUGUGUAAGCGCAGCGAUGCGUUGAGCUAACCGGUACUAAUGAACCGUGAG
rnacentral:rRNA from 1 species